AAUAUUGUGGUAAUAGUAAAAAAUGGAUAAUGGUAAAUGAACAAACUACCCAUGAAGUAACGGAUCGAGAAGGGUUCAUGAAUUCAUCAGCAAGAAGUAAGUAAUCUUUAAUAGGUAAGAAAAGUAAAAGUUCACAGACCGGCUUCUCUUAGUGAUAGAAGAAUGGUUUGAAAAACUAAUUGACACAUUGAAUGAAUAAAACUCUGCUCAGAAGGUUGAAGGUAAUUUUUCUUUAAAGACAAAAAAUUACAUAAUUUAAAAGAAGACAUUGGAAAUCACGGAAGAGUAGUAAUGUGACAAAGCAAAAAAAUUUCAAAUUUGGGUGGGA